rnacentral:rRNA from 1 species
CGCUGGCGGCGUGCUUAACACAUGCAAGUCGAGCGGAGAGGCUCCUUCGGGGGUACUCGAGCGGCGAACGGGUGAGUAUCACGUGAGUAAUCUGCCCUUGGCUUUGGGAUAAGCCCCGGAAACGGGGUCUAAUACCGGAUACGACGCACUCUCGCAUGGGAUGUGUGUGGAAAGUUUUUUCGGCCAGGGAUGUGCUCGCGGCCUAUCAGCUUGUUGGUGGGGUAAUGGCCUACCAAGGCUUCGACGGGUAGCCGGCCUGAGAGGGUGACCGGCCACACUGGGACUGAGACACGGCCCAGACUCCUACGGGAGGCAGCAGUGGGGAAUAUUGGACAAUGGGCGGAAGCCUGAUCCAGCAACGCCGCGUGAGGGAUGACGGCCUUCGGGUUGUAAACCUCUUUCAGCACCGACGAAGCGCCGAUGAUGGUGGUGGCGGUAGGUACAGAAGAAGCACCGGCCAACUACGUG